CACGUAGGGUGCGAGCGUUGUCCGGAAUUAUUGGGCGUAAAGAGCUCGUAGGCGGUGUGUCGCGUCGGCCGUGAAAACCUGCAGCUUAACUGUGGGCUUGCGGUCGAUACGGGCAUCACUGGAGUUCGGCGGGGGAGACUGGAAUUCCUGGUGUAGCGGUGAAAUGCGCAGAUAUCAGGAGGAACACCGGUGGCGAAGGCGGGUCUCUGGGCCGAUACUGACGCUGAGGAGCGAAAGCGUGGGGAGCGAACAGG
rnacentral:rRNA from 1 species